UGGUUUUGUCUGAAGUCAAACUUUUUUAAGUUUGACUAAAUUUAUAUAAAAGAUUAUUAAUUUUUAUGAUACCAAAUAAACAUGCUAUGAAAAUAUAUUUCAUCAUGAAUCUAAUGAUACUUAUUUGGUUUCAUAAAAAAUUGUAACUUUUUGUAUAAAUUUGGUCAAAUUUAAGAAAGUUUGACUUUAAAUAAAAUCAA
rfam:Dichanthelium oligosanthes cultivar Kellogg 1175 unplaced genomic scaffold Do_version_2_scaffold4310, whole genome shotgun sequence.